CCUUGUACACACCGCCCGUCACACCAUGGGAGUUGGUUUUACCCGAAGCCGGUGGGCUAACCCUGGGCAACCUGGGGAGGCAGCCGACCACGGUAAGGUCAGCGACUGGGGUG
rnacentral:rRNA from 1 species